rnacentral:rRNA from 1 species
ACUUACCAAACCGAUGCAAACUCCGAAUACCAAUGAGUACUAUCCGGGAGACAGACUGCGGGUGCUAACGUCCGUAGUCAAGAGGAAAACAAUCCAGACCGCCAGCUAAGGCCCCAAAAUUAUAGUUAAGUGGGAAACGAUGUGGGAAGGCAUAGACAGCUAGGAGGUUGGCUUAGAAGCAGCCAUCCUUUAAAGAAAGCGUAAUAGCUCACUAGUCGAGUCGGCCUGCGCGGAAGAUGUAACGGGGCUCAAACUGGAUACCGAAGCUGCGGCUGCAUACUUUGUAUGCGGGGUAGGGGAGCGUUGUGUAAGUCUGUGAAGGUGUCCUGAGAGGGAUGCUGGAGAUAUCACAAGUGCGAAUGCUGACAUGAGUAACGAUAAAGGGGGUGAGAGGCCCCCUCGCCGAAAAUCCAAGGUUUCCUGCUCAACGUUAAUCGGAGCAGGGUGAGUCGGCCCCUAAGGCGAGGCAGAAAUGCGUAGUCGAUGGGAAACAGGUUAAUAUUCCUGUACUUGUUAUUACUGCGAUGGGAUGACGGAGAAGGUUAGAUCAGCCAACUGUUGGAUAUGUUGGUUUAAGUGUGUAGACGUGUUGAGUAGGCAAAUCCGCUCGACUUAGUUGAGACAUGAUGACGAGCUUCAAUAGAAGUGAAGUGAUUGAUACCCGGCUUCCAGGAAAAGUCUCUAAGCUUCAGGUAAUAACGAACCGUACCCCAAACCGACACAGGUGGAUGGGAUGAGUAUUCUAAGGCGCUUGAGAGAACUCUGGUGAAGGAACUAGGCAAAAUGGCACCGUAACUUCGGGAGAAGGUGUGCCCCUGUUAGGUGAAGCGACUUGCUCGUGGAGCUGAAAGGGGUUGCAAUGACCAGGUGGCUGCGACUGUUUAUUAAAAACACAGCACUCUGCAAACUCGAAAGAGGACGUAUAGGGUGUGACGCCUGCCCGGUGCUGGAAGGUUAAGAGGAGUGCUUAGC